AAAUUGAAGAGUUUGAUCAUGGCUCAGAUUGAACGCUGGCGGCAGGCCUAACACAUGCAAGUCGAGCGGCAGCGGGAAAGUAGCUUGCUACUUUUGCCGGCGAGCGGCGGACGGGUGAGUAAUGCCUGGGGAUCUGCCCAGUCGAGGGGGAUAACAGUUGGAAACGACUGCUAAUACCGCAUACGCCCUACGGGGGAAAGGAGGGGACCUUCGGGCCUUUCGCGAUUGGAUGAACCCAGGUGGGAUUAGCUAGUUGGUGGGGUAAUGGCUCACCAAGGCGA
rnacentral:rRNA from 1 species